GCAUGUGUAUAAAUACCGUCGAGAUUUUGACAACGAUACCAGUGAUCCACGAGUUCUUCAUCGAUACACAAAUAAUAAUUAUUUCAUUGAAACUCUUCGUUAAAACAUAUUCGUCAUCAUGUACAAAUUAAUGCUGUUGAUUGUCGCUGCUGCGGCUCUGAUCGCUACCGCCACCGGUACAUUCAUCUACACAUACCCUGCACAUCACAUCGCUACUUACCCGUCCGUUUACACUUACCCGGCGUACCACUACCCGUUGGCUUACUCAUCAGCCUACCCACCAGCAUACACCCUUCUUCGCCGUUAAGUCUAUCCACGUCGAUAUGAACUGCAAAUAUUGUGAACAACCCUUAACAAAACUUCGAAAUCUACUCCUUGAAGAUAUAUAAUAUCAUAUAACUAUAAGUCCAUAAUGUUAUUACGCAUACAAUUUAUCUUCUUAUAUUUUUUAUAGAGUAUCUCAGUUUUAUUUAUAAUAUUAUAUGGGAACCUAAAAUCAACCCAUAUAUAUAUAUAUAUAUAUAUAUAUAUUAUAUUAUAUGCGGGCAUAAUUAUGUUAUUAUUUAUUGCACAUUAUAUUAUUAUUUAUAUGUGAAAAAGAAAAA